UUUAGAAUUUAAAAAUAAUAAUAAAGUAUUAUAAGUUAUGUUCUUUAAACUUAAAAAAAUUGGCGGUAUUUAAAUCUAAUUAGGGGAAUUUGUCUUUUAAAUGAUAAUCCUCAAGAUACCUUACUUUAUUUAAAAAUUUAUUUAUUGCCGUUAACAGAUUAUUUUAUAAGAAAAUAAAUUUUCUUUAUUAUUUAUAUUAAUAAUUAUUUCAGGUCUUUAUGUAGUUUAUAAUAAAGUUAAGAUGAAUUACAAUAAAAUUUAUUUAAAUGGAUAUUAUAGUGAAAUUUAUAAUUGAAAGUGGACUUAAUAGUAAUUUUAAAUAUUAAAUUAUUUUGAAUUAAGAAUUAAAUAUGU
rnacentral:rRNA from 1 species